GUGUGUUUAAUCACUUCAUAUGUAUCCUCCUAUAUUUCAAAAUAUUGUGAAUCAGGACGAUGAAGAAGAUUAUUUUUGGAUUAUUAAACAAAGAUAAGAGUGUUAAGAAAGAAGGCAGCAUCAAAACACCAUCAAAUGAGAACGUUAACUUCAAAGAGUACUGCCUGAUGGAUGAUCAAAUACGAGUAAGUGUUCUUAAUUAACUUCUUCGAAAAUGGGACACAAGAGGCUAAUGGGAUCCAGCUGUUUGGGUGUUUACGUCAUUGUUUUAUUUGAUUUAACCUAUCUUCUCUCUUUUGAAUCCUCAUUGGAAUUGCUAUGGUUUUUCAAGUCAUCAAAAGUAGGUUUUGUAAUUCUAAUAUCUAGACGGAUUAUUGUGGAUAUACAUUAAGGAUAUUUUCCUAUAUUGUAGAUUAGGAUUAUGUAAAUUUAACUUUAUCAUAUUAGGGUUAGACUUUGUAAGUGUGUAUAAAUAUCAGACCUUAAGGUCCAAG
rnacentral:lncRNA from 1 species